rnacentral:misc_RNA from 1 species
UUCGGACAGUGAGUACUCGGUGCCGAAGCCUGAUAAGCAGGCAAAAGGCCAUUUGCCAAUCCUCAAUUUCACGGAUUUGCCGUUGCGGCAACACGACGAAUGGGCGACAAGAACGCGGGUUGAGGAACCCAUUGGUGGAGUGGAUUUGACAUUCGCUACCCGUCUCCCAACGAAUGAGGCAAGCGAAUGUCAAAUCCAAAACUCCACCAGAAAUUUAACAUUUGCCAGUGGUCCUUCGAUUCUAACAUUCGCAAGAAUGCCUGCUGCAAUGGAGUGCGAAUGUUAGAAUCGGACCACUUGCACUUCGGAUUAUCCCCAGAUGUUAGCUGAUCUUUUGAAGGCCCUCGUUCUCGGAA